UACGAAGGGGGCUAGCGUUGCUCGGAAUCACUGGGCGUAAAGGGUGCGUAGGCGGGUCUUUAAGUCAGGGGUGAAAUCCUGGAGCUCAACUCCAGAACUGCCUUUGAUACUGAGGAUCUUGAGUUCGGGAGAGGUGAGUGGAACUGCGAGUGUAGAGGUGAAAUUCGUAGAUAUUCGCAAGAACACCAGUGGCGAAGGCGACUUACUGGACACAUAUUGACGCUGAGGUGCGAAAGCGUGGGGAGCAAACAGG
rnacentral:rRNA from 1 species